UACAGGGGGUGCAAACGUUGCUCGGAAUCAUUGGGCGUAAAGCGCACGUAGGCGGUUUGUUAUGUCGGAUGUGAAAGCCCUUGGCUCAACUGAGGAAGUGCAUCCGAAACUGGCAAGCUAGAGUACUAAAGAGGGUCGCGGAAUUCCCGGUGUAGAGGUGAAAUUCGUAGAUAUCGGGAGGAACGCCGGUGGCGAAGGCGGCGACCUGGGUAGAUACUGACGCUGAGGUGCGAAAGCGUGGGGAGCAAACAGG
rnacentral:rRNA from 1 species